GACGUAGGAUGCAAGCGUUGUCCGGAAUUAUUGGGCGUAAAGAGUUCGUAGGCGGUUGCCUAAGUCUGAUGUUAAAUACUGGAGCUCAACUCCGGCAUGGCAUUGGAAACUGGGCAGCUAGAGUGUGGUAGAGGUCACGGGAAUUCCAGGUGUAGCGGUGAAAUGCGUAGAUAUCUGGAGGAACACCGGUGGCGAAAGCGCGUGACUGGGCCAUAACUGACGCUGAGGAACGAAAGCCAGGGGAGCGAAAGGG
rnacentral:rRNA from 1 species